ensembl:lncRNA LINC02436 long intergenic non-protein coding RNA 2436
GAGAAAGACCCACUUACUCUGCAGAAGAGAUAUAUGACAGCUGACAAUCCCUGGAGGAGAAUCUUUCUACUAAAUUGUUGAAAACAUUCAAGUACGGAAUAAACUAUUACUGCGAAUACGCUCAUAUGACACAAGAACAAUCUCUGAGCUUCUUUGAGGAUGUCCAGAUGACUGCUGACUGCACUAAUUGCAUCAAUCGUGUAUCCAUACAGGUUCUUUCUAUAAAAUAGUGGUCGCUAGUUAUGAGGCGUUAAGCCUUCAUGGAUAUAAACAGACUAUUCCACCUAAGUGAUCUGGCAGAAGCUUAGUUUUCUACCACAACAUCCACCGUCCUCCCUCCCUCCCUUCCUAGCUGGUCAGAAAAGCUACUCAGAAUAAAGACUACAUUUCCCAGCCAUCUUUGCAGCUAGGUUUAUCCACCUGACUAAAUUCCACCGUAACUCCAGGUUGAAGAACUUCUACUUAUAGGCAUCUAUUCAACGAAGACGAAUCCUGGAAUGGGGAUGGAAAUGAUGGCUCAUGUCUUAGCAAACUACCAAACUGAUCCGAGAGGACAGGGAAGUCAGUGUGGGCGGCUCUAAGGAGCCUCCCUCUCUACAGCUGCGGCUCAGAGGAUUACGGCGCUUCAUCCACAAGGCAACAUUGCACAAGUAGCUUUUGAACAAAAGUCAUGGAUACUAUUAAUGAUAUGACACAGUGAAACUCAGUUUCUGCAGAAUUUGAUUUCAUUUGAGUUACUGGGGAACAAAGCAAUUAGACAAUGAAUAAUAGCUCAAGACAGGCUGAAGCUGAAGAUUUCUGCAAAAGAAUGAAGAGGAAACGUUUUGAUCCUGAGCAGAUGUUCUCCCUAGAUUGCUUCACCUGAGGUUGAUUGACUUUUGGAAACGAGAUUUGUUCCCAGUGCUUUGUGAGUCUCUUGUUGGAAGGACUGUCUUUAAAUUAAAGCAAUUAGAGUUACUUUAUAAGAUUUACCCAAAUAUAAGAGCUGAAGAGAAUAAUUCAAAUUGAUCAGAAGAAAAUACUCAAUUACUGACAAAUGUCAAUUACAUCAAUAGCCUAGGCUGCUCUUGAACUCCUGGGCUCAAACGAUCCUCCCCUGUCGGCCUCCCAAAGUGCUGGGAUUACAAGCUUGAACCACCAUGCCCAGCCUCAGAAAUUUUUUAAAUGACAGCUCAUACAGUUUUCUUUUAUAAAGGAGGAGAAAAUGUGUAAUUGUAAGCAGCUGAACUAAAAUAUCUCUGUGACAUUUUGCUGGUGACUCCAGCCCUGUGAGAUCUGAGUGGCUCAGGAAUCAAAUUCUCCCACAAACCUGAGGAAGCCUUUUAUUCUUAAUGCCAACAGGAUGCCCCAUGCCCAGAAUGUCAAAUCUGAACACCAAUGGAAUGCAUUUUAUAAACAAAUUGAAAAAGGACAAUCUUUAACAGAAUUGUUGUUCUCUAGGCAGAUUAGUUGUGCUUCAAAUACAAAAUGAAAUAUUAGAGAACAAAAUUAUUUUUAAACAGCUAAUACUAGUAGAAAAUAAAAGGCUGAAAAGUGCUAUAA